rnacentral:rRNA from 1 species
GACGAACGCUGGCGGCGUGCCUCAUACAUGCAAGUCGAGCGAAUUGGCUUCGGCCAGUUAGCGGCGGACGGGUGAGUAACGCGUGGGCAAUCUGCCCUAAAGACCGGGAUAACAUUCCGAAAGGGGAUGCUAAUACCGGGUGUGAUCCUAACCUCGCAUGGGGGAUAGGAAGAUAGGAGAAAUCCGCUUUAGGAUGAGCCCGCGUCCCAUUAGCUAGUUGGUAGGGUAAAGGCCUACCAAGGCGACGAUGGGUAGCCGACCUGAGAGGGUGACCGGCCACACUGGGACUGAGACACGGCCCAGACUCCUACGGGAGGCAG